rnacentral:rRNA from 1 species
CUCGAAUUUAAAAGAGUUAUGAUUUUGUGGUUGUUUUUGUGGAAUAAAAAUGGGUUACAUUAUUAUAGAAGUGAAACGUUAUUCGAUUUUAAAUAUAUCUAGUUGCUAAAGAAAUAGAUUUAAUUUAGUUUUUAUUAGAAAGAUUUUUUUUUAGAAAGCAGCUUGCUGGUAAAGAUAUAGAUCUUAAGGGAUGAGCUUUAGGGUCUAAUUGUAGAACAAGGCUCUUAUUUAUUUAAAUUAAUGGGAUUAAAGGUUUCUUUUAUAGUGUGUUAUAACUAUAUUAAAAUGAUAUUUUAUUUAUAUUUUGUUUAUGUUUUAUAUUUAGCUAUUUUUUGUAAUUUUAAGUUUUAGGUUAUUAUGAUUGAAUUAGUAAUUUUUUUUAUUUAAGAAUUUUAUUUUUGUAAGUUAAAUAAAAGGAACUCGGCAAAGAGGCUUUUCACCUGUUUACUAAAAACAUGUCUUUUUGAUUUUUAUUUAAAGUCUAGCCUGCCCAAUGAGGGGUUUAAUGGCCGCGGUAUUUUGACCGUGCAAAGGUAGCAUAAUCAUUAGUUUUUUAAUUGAAAGCUGGAAUGAAGGGUUGGAUGAGAAAGAUUCUGUCUCUUUUUUAUUUGUUGAAUUUUAUCUUUGAGUUAAAAAGCUUAAAUGUUUAAUGAAGACGAGAAGACCCUAUAGAGUUUAAGAAUUAAAGAUUUAUUUUUUGUUAGUAUUUUUUUUUAUUUUAUGUACUUAAUUCUUUGGUUGGGGUGACUGGAAAAUUUAAUUAACUUUUCUUUUAUUAGACAUUUAUUUAUGGGUGAGUGAUCCUUUUUAUGGAUUAUAAGAAUAAAUUACCUUAGGGAUAACAGCGUAAUUUUUUUUGAGAGUUCUAAUCGAAAAAAAAGUUUGCGACCUCGAUGUUGGAUUAAAAUUUUUUUCUGGUGCAGAAGCUAGAAUUUUAAGUCUGUUCGACUUUUAAAAUUUUACAUGAUCUGAGUUUAGACCGGUGUGAGCCAGGUUGGUUUCUAUCUCUUUAUAUUUUUAGUGUUUUAGUACGAAAGGACCAAACACU